ACCGUAAUGCAGCCUACCACGGUAGCCAGUCCCAAGCCUGGGAAAAUGCAGAGGGCGGA
ncrna:unclassified sequences type-P1 twister ribozyme